rnacentral:rRNA from 1 species
CAGCAGCCGCGGUAAUACGUAGGUGGCAAGCGUCGUCCGGAAUUAUUGGGCGUAAAGGGCUCGCAGGCGGUUUCUUAAGUCUGAUGUGAAAGCCCCCGGCUCAACCGGGGAGGGUCAUUGGAAACUGGGAAACUUGAGUGCAGAAGAGGAGAGUGGAAUUCCACGUGUAGCGGUGAAAUGCGUAGAGAUGUGGAGGAACACCAGUGGCGAAGGCGACUCUCUGGUCUGUAACUGACGCUGAGGAGCGAAAGCGUGGGGAGCGAACAGGAUUAGAUACCCCAGUAGUCCCUGUCUCUUAUAA